GAUGAAGAACGUAGCGAAAUGCGAUAAGUAAUGCGAAUUGCAGAAUUUCCGUGAGUCAUCGAAUCUUUGAACGCACAUUGCGCCCACUGGUAUUCCGGUGGGCAUGCCUGUUCGAGCGUCAUUAUCCUCCCUCAAACCUCGGGUUUGGUGUUGGACCCAAGUUGUGUGAACAACUGGUCUUAAAGACAAUGACGGCGUCCGUGGGACCCUCGGUGCAACGAGCUUUUAGGAGCACGCGUCGAGUUUCAAGGACCUUCCGGGCCGGUCUCCUUUACCAUUUUACAAGGUUGACCUCGGAUCAGGUAGGAAUACCCGCUGAACUUAAGCAUAUCAUAAGCGGAGGA
rnacentral:misc_RNA from 1 species